ACCAUUAGAGCAUGCUCAGUCCAUCUGAACGCAGCUGUUCUAUUGUGUGUCUGUGUCACUGUCUUUUCUUCAUUCCCUUGUUGCUUCUAGUCCUGUUUCUAAGCACUAAGCCAUGGAGUACAGAUCUUGCAAAUCCAUACAUAGACAAGGAAGCAUUUUCCAGUGGCCCACUACAUCCUGGAUGAAAAAAUCAGCUAAGACUUUGCUCCUGUGCUAAGGAAAGACUCCCCACCAGCUCAGUAGGAGGAGUCCCGCUCCAGUUUCCACAAAGAAAAUCCCAGAAGAGGACCCAGCCUGGCUACAGGGUCACUAUACAGAUCACCUUGAAGUCCUGUUUCUGCUGCCUCCAUACCCUACAUGCUGGAAUUACAAAGCAUGCCCCACUACUUCUUUUUUUUUUUCCCUACUACCUCUAAAAGUGGUGAAUUAAUAUACCAUUAAAGAAACUUUCAAAUAACUA